AUGUGCCGCCUUUAUGAGCAGAGUCAGCAACAACAUCGGGAAAUGAUGAACCAAGUCAUCAACAUGGGAAAUCACCAUGGACAGUAUCAGCAGCAUUCCAAGUUAUCUGAGCUACAGAAGACACGUCCUCAAACAUUUUCUCACACUGACAAACAUCUUGAAGCCGAGGACUGGCUUCGAGAUAUGGAGAGAAAAUUAAUUAUUGCAAAAUGUUCAGACCCCGAAAAGGUAUUGUAUGCUCCGCACUAUCUCACAGGAGCAGCCGCAUCAUGGUGGGAGAAUUUUCUGCACAUGCAUCCCAACGAAAAUGACAUAACCUGGGAUGAUUUCAAGGAAGGUUUCCGUGGUGCACACAUUCCUAAGAGUAUUAUGAAAAUCAAGAAGAGAGAGUUCGAUGACCUCAAACAAAGGAACAUGACAGUGUCAGAUUACAACAGUCAAUUUACUCUAUUGUCCCGCUACGCCAAUGAAGAGCGUAUGACUGAAAUCAAGAAGAUGGAGAAAUUCCUUGACGGUCUGGCGCCCGCGCUUAAAUGCCAACUGGUCGUGCACACUUUUCCUGAUUUUAAAACACUGGUGGACAAAGCCAUUACUCUGGAAAAUGAGAGACGCAGUCUGGAAGAUAUCCGCAAGCGAAAAAGGGACCAGACUAAUCAUGCUCGCAAUCACCGAAGCAAGACAGAUUUUCAAAAGGGUGGGACACACAAAUCCUCAUCCAAUGUCUCACACCCAAUCAAGAAUUUUCAUGCA
rnacentral:rRNA from 1 species